GUUGUGUGUUGGGGUGGUGAACUCUGUGACAAGAUAGAGAAGGAAGGGUGGGGAAUGUGGGAAGCUUGGGGAAUGUGGGGAUGCAGUGUGGCUGGGUGAGGCUGCAUCGGGGAGUGGAGGGCGGGGGGCUACACAGGUCAGGAAAUGUGGCCCGGGUCCAUCUUACCCUGUCCGCUUCCUGGGGCUCCUGGAUUCUACUCCUGGGGCCCAGACCCUUGUGUAGCUCGUUUCUCUGUGAGCACCUGGGCCCUGACCACUGCAGCGGCCAUGGGUGGGCAGUGGGAGGGGCCCUCCCUGGUGCAGGGGGUCACGGCUGCUGGGACUUGGCAGCUCCAGGAUCGGCAGCAUUUUGUGGAGAACGACGAGAUGUACUCUGUCCAGGACCUCCUGGACGUGCAUGCCGGCCGCCUGGGCUGCUCACUCACCGAGAUCCACACGCUCUUCGCCAAGCACAUCAAGCUGGACUGUGAGCGGUGCCAGGCCAAGGGCUUCGUGUGUGAGCUCUGCAGAGAGGGCGAUGUGCUGUUCCCGUUCGACAGCCACACGUCUGUGUGCGCUGACUGCUCCGCUGUCUUCCACAGGGACUGCUACUACGACAACUCUACCACGUGUCCCAAGUGUGCCCGGCUCAGCCUGAGGAAGCAGUCGCUCUUCCAGGAGCCAGGUCCUGACGUGGAGGCCUAGCGCUGAGGAACAGUGCUGGGCACCCCACCUGGCCCGCCAGGACCCACCCUGCCAACGUCAAGUUGUUCGUUCUGCUCUGGAGACCCCUGGGGUGCGGCCCUGGACCCCUCCACCCCUGCUGGGCCAGAGUGGUGGGCAGUGUCAAGGCCCGCUGUCUCCCAGGUGCUUGCUGGGACUCGGGGCGGCCGCACCUGGCUGUCACCUGGGUGUGCUGCUGUGAGGGGUCCUUGCGUGGCCCCCAUCCUUCCCCCAGUGCAGAACUCCAUGGGCAGGGAGUUGGGGGGACAUCUCAUCUCCCCCAUGGCACAGAGCCCUCCACACCCCUGGACCAGGGCAUCCGGGCCCUAGAGAUUCCACAGCUCCUGUCCUGGCCACCCUGGAAACUCAUCAGGCCAAGACCCCGAGAGAGCUUCAGAGGAGUGUUGAGUAACACCUGAGGAUGCGGCUGCACACACUCAGCCAAGGGCCGAGUCUCACCUGCAGUGGGGUUUCGGCUCUGCCUGGGGGCUCCAUCCCUUUCAGCCACUCGUCGCCUUGGGGAUUUCUGGUUGUCCCCAGCUGGGGCUGUUCACAGUUGUCACCUGCAGACCUGCCUCUCCCUGGCCUGAGGUUCAAAGGCCUCAUUGGGUGGUCAGUCCAGUGAGGUCACUUGUUGUUUCUGUACAACAGCAGGGAAGGGGCCAUGGAGCUUUUCCCUGCUGGGUGCUCCUGCUUUGGCCCAGCCCACCUGUCCUGGUGCUCCAAGCUAGGAGGCUGUGGCCCCUGCCUGAGGAGGGUGUCCUGGUCUCCAGGUGUGGAGCAGGGACUGUGCGCUGGGGGAGGUUCCAGUUAGGCGAUGGGAUCCUGCAGUGGUCUGGUGGCAUUUCUUGGAACCAGAUUUACCUGAGGAGCUCUGUCCUGCUGCCUGUGGAGGGCUCCAGAUAGCUCAGAAAUGACCAGCCAAUGGCCUUUUGUUUGGAGGCCUGAGGUCAAGAGCUGAGAAUAUUCGCUCGACUGAGCGAAGAUGGGGGCAGGCAUGUGGGAGGUCCCUCACUCCACAGGACAAAGGCCCCUGGACAGCAGAGGAAACCUACAGCUCUGGGUGAGGGGACACUUGGCUUUGGUGUUUGCACUUUACAGAUCCUGCGGUCCACGAGGGGCCUCAGGAGAGGACGUGUCAGGACGUGGCUUCCCAGCCUUCUGCCUUGGGCAGUGGGGGUGCUCCUGUCUAUCCUUUUCCCCCACACCCUGGACUGUGUUUGGCUGUUGGUGCACAUGGCUGGCACACACGGUGGGCAGAGGGCAGAGAAUGCCACUGCUUGGAUAUUUUGGUCCCCUUUGACCAGGAAACCCAAGAGGAGACACCUCACUCGGCAGAAAGGCCGCCCGGCUCGCUGGCUCAUUCCAGGAGUGGGAGAGAUGGCAAGGUCUCCUCUUUGCCCUCCGCCAUCAGGAAGGGGACGGUGUCCUCUCCUCGCUGUGGUGGCUUUAGGCAAGGUUCUUACUGUCUGCUCUGCCUCGGUUUCCCCAUCUGGAAAAUGGGGGCAGGGGUACUGACCUACCUCAGGUGGAACAGUGAGCAGGGAACAUGUCGGAGCUCUUUAGAGAGUGUGAUGUGAGGUUGGAUCAACAGUGUGGGUUCCUGUCCUGCUUCCCCUUCCUCUUUGGGGCUGAGGACGGGCUU
rnacentral:sRNA from 1 species